CUCUUAAAAUAUUUUAAGUAAUCUCUGCCCUAUGAAUAAUUUUAAUGGCCGCAGUAUCUUGACUGUGCAAAGGUAGCAUAAUCAUUUGUUUUUUUAUUGAAAACUGGCAUGAAAGAGGCGACGAAAUAUAAUCUUUUAUUUUUAUAAAAUAAAAUUAACAUAAAGGUUAAAAGGCCAUUUAUAUCCCAAAGGGACGAUAAGACCCUAUAAAACUUUACUUUUUAAUAAAAAUAUUGAUUAGACAUAAUUUUUUAUACUAGAGUUGAGCUGGGGCGGUAAAAAUAAAAACUACUAAUAUAUAAAAUAUACAUAUAUAGCUUAAUAGGACUUAAAUAAAAUAUAGAACAAGUUACUUUAGGGAUAACAGCAUAAUUCUUUCAGAUAGUUCUUAUUGGCGAAAGAGUUUAUGACCUCGAUGUUGAAUUGGAAGUCC
rnacentral:rRNA from 1 species